rnacentral:lncRNA from 1 species
CUAAGAAGACAGCACAUCAGCCUGGACAACAUAGUGAGAACCUAGCUCUACAAAAAAUAAAAUAUAUUAGAUGGGUGUGAUGGCACCUGCCUCUGGUUCUAGUUACUUGGAAGGCUGAAGCGGGAGGAUUGCUUGAGCCUAGGAGUUUGAGGCUGCAGUGAGCCAUGACUGUGCUACUGCACUCCAGUCUGGACAACAGAGUGAGAACCAGUCUCAAAAAAAAGGAAAAGAAAAAGAAAAAGAUAUCACUGUUGUUGUAUUGUUGUGUAUCCCUAAAGCAGAGUGAUCAUGAAGGAUGAGAGAGAAGGAAAGGAGACAGCGAAAGGAAGUGUUGCAACCAGACAUAAAUGUCUUGGCUUUGCCCUUUCUGGGUUUAGACUACAAGACAGAGGGAGAUGUGUUAUUACAUCAGUGAUGAUACUCCUCAAGGUAAAGAAGAGGCAUUGUUCCCACUACC